ensembl:lincRNA
GCAUUUGUCCUAUGGGUUGCCGGGCUUGAGCUCAGGUUCUCAGGCUUUGAACUCCCCAAAAACCUUCAACCUAAAGCAUGUAUCAAGAUGGCUUCCAGUUCAGGAGAAUGUCUGCAAAUGGGGGUCUAAUGGAUGUUAUGUAGUCCUUUACUUUGAGGAUUUGGACUUAUAGACCUUCAGAUUAUGGAUGCAACCAAGAGACUCCAUAUGUAUCUUCAGGUAUAACAAGUUGCUUAAUAACCAGGCAGUGAUGGUGUACACCUGUAGUUCCUUGGAAGCUGAUGUAAGUAAAUCUCUCCAGUAUGAGGAUUUUGUCCAACUGAGCAGCAAAGCAAGACUAUCUCAGAAGAAAAAGAGCCAUGCAAACCUAAAUGCGGGUUGUAUCCCUGAAAUAUUGACACUCCCAAGGCUGAGGCAUGAUGGUUGUAAGUUGGAGGCCAGCCUGGGCUGCUACACAGUGAGAACUGGUUUCAGCAACAACAACAACAACAACAGCAACAGCAACAACAACAACAACAACAGCAACAGCAGCAACAACAACAACAAAGCAGCAGCAGCAGCAACAACAACGACAACAGAAGAAAAAUUCACUCUAGAAAAAAACAGUCUAAAAACUAAAACAACCAAAACCUCUACAAUAAUAUCAACAAACCCAAAUAAAGCAGGGCAGCAAAAAUAGCUGAGAAGAAAGCACCUCUUGAGACCACAACAAUCGCUGGUAACAUUUUAUAAUGAUGUCUCACCUGCAUGUUCAUGAAUACACCGCAUGCUCCUCCCACCUGUAUUAUUCAUACUGUUUUUUUGUUGUUGUUGUUGAUGUUGUUUUGCUUUUGUCUUAUGAGCCAGUUGUAAAAUUUGUUCAUAGGUUGCUCCUUAGAAAUCAUUAUUUCUCCAGAGGUGACGGGGUGGAAUGCCUUCAUUUUCCUAUUCCUUGGUUGUUUUCAUUUUUUUGUUAGUGUAAAUAAUGGUGGUGGUCACUGUAUCACACAUAUGUCUUCUUUGUGUCUUGAUGCUUAUGGACAAGUAUGAAAAGAAGUGAUUACUAAUGCCUGUUAUUUACUGAGGAUGAAUCAUGUCUCGGUUCAACAUAUGUAAAAAGAGAAGGUGAACAAAUAGGAAGGUGGUAGACUAUCCCACUGCUGUGCCCCAUCUGCUAUUUUUCAUUGUACCCUAAGCUUCAUGCUACAGAGCCCAUUUGUGGAGGUUACACUAGUGUUCUCUUGCAGAUCAAUAUUUUAAGUAGCUCAACUCUCUUAAUUACUUAAAAUAUUGUUAGCUGUUUUAUACUCCUGUGGAUUUUUUAUUCAUUGCUCCAAUUUUGUGUAGACUUUCAAACCUUUUGAACUGUGGGGACAGUCCAAUGCCUGCACUGUCUCUCCUGUCACCGUUAGUGCUUCCUGGCUUUGAAUUAGUGAACACUUAUUGGUUUUCAUUCCAGAGUUUGUUGAUGCAAAGUUUAAAAGCUUUAAAAAUCACAUUUAAUCCAGGCAGUGGUGGCACAAGCCUUUAAUCCUAGUAUUUGGGAGAAAGAAGCAAGCAGAGUUUUAAGUUCAAGGCCAGCCUGGUCUAUAAAAUAACUUUCAGGACAGCUAGGGAUAUUGAACUGAAAAACCUUGUCUUGGGUGGGCAUCCAUUUUAGUACCUUUGUGCAUAUUUCUGAUUUAAAAAAAUUACAUAUAUUUAUUUUGUGUAUGUGUUGG